UAGAAAAGCAAGAGGACACAGUAGAGUGGGAGAAAGAGAAGGUUUACAUCUACAACUACAUAAAUGACCUGAUGGAUGAUCCUCAGCUAGAAGAAGAAGGCCAACAAGCCAACAGACAGCCUGCAGUGGAGAGAAGUUGUGCCCGAAGAGCAAAACUGUGCAACAUACUGCCAUGGAUUUUGAUAUCAGCUGCAAUCAUCAUCUUACCCACAUACUUCAUUUUGGACAUUAAUAAAGUGAAGAACGGCUACGACCAACAACACGU